CUGCAGUGAUGCUUCUCUUAGGAUACCUUUGGAUAUAUCAUGAAAACAAACCAGUUCGUGGUCUGGGAGGUGGCGCAGC
rnacentral:snoRNA from 1 species